UACGGUGGGAGCAAGCGUUGUUCGGAUUUACUGGGCGUAAAGGGCGCGUAGGCGGUCAGCACAAGUCAGUUGUGAAAUCUCCGGGCUUAACUCGGAAAGGUCAACUGAUACUGUGCGACUAGAGUGCGGAAGGGGCAACUGGAAUUCUCGGUGUAGCGGUGAAAUGCGUAGAUAUCGAGAGGAACACCUGCGGCGAAGGCGGGUUGCUGGGCCGACACUGACGCUGAUGCGCGAAAGCCAGGGGAGCGAACAGG
rnacentral:rRNA from 1 species